UUAAGCGACUAAGCGUACACGGUGGAUGCCCUGGCAGUCAGAGGCGAUGAAGGACGUGCUAAUCUGCGAUAAGCGUCGGUAAGGUGAUAUGAACCGUUAUAACCGGCGAUUUCCGAAUGGGGAAACCCAGUGUGAUUCGUCACACUAUCAUUAACUGAAUCCAUAGGUUAAUGAGGCGAACCGGGGGAACUGAAACAUCUAAGUACCCCGAGGAAAAGAAAUCAACCGAGAUUCCCCCAGUAGCGGCGAGCGAACGGGGAGGAGCCCAGAGCCUGAAUCAGUGUGUGUGUUAGUGGAAGCGUCUGGAAAGGCGCGCGAUACAGGGUGACAGCCCCGUACACAAAAAUGCACAUGCUGUGAGCUCGAUGAGUAGGGCGGGACACGUGGUAUCCUGUCUGAAUAUGGGGGACCAUCCUCCAAGGCUAAAUACUCCUGACUGACCGAUAGUGAACCAGUACCGUGAGGGAAAGGCGAAAAGAACCCCGGCGAGGGGAGUGAAAAAGAACCUGAAACCGUGUACGUACAAGCAGUGGGAGCACGCUUAGGCGUGUGACUGCGUACCUUUUGUAUAAUGGGUCAGCGACUUAUAUUCUGUAGCAAGGUUAACCGAAUAGGGGAGCCGAAGGGAAACCGAGUCUUAACUGGGCGUUAAGUUGCAGGGUAUAGACCCGAAACCCGGUGAUCUAGCCAUGGGCAGGUUGAAGGUUGGGUAACACUAACUGGAGGACCGAACCGACUAAUGUUGAAAAAUUAGCGGAUGACUUGUGGCUGGGGGUGAAAGGCCAAUCAAACCGGGAGAUAGCUGGUUCUCCCCGAAAGCUAUUUAGGUAGCGCCUCGUGAAUUCAUCUCCGGGGGUAGAGCACUGUUUCGGCAAGGGGGUCAUCCCGACUUACCAACCCGAUGCAAACUGCGAAUACCGGAGAAUGUUAUCACGGGAGACACACGGCGGGUGCUAACGUCCGUCGUGAAGAGGGAAACAACCCAGACCGCCAGCUAAGGUCCCAAAGUCAUGGUUAAGUGGGAAACGAUGUGGGAAGGCCCAGACAGCCAGGAUGUUGGCUUAGAAGCAGCCAUCAUUUAAAGAAAGCGUAAUAGCUCACUGGUCGAGUCGGCCUGCGCGGAAGAUGUAACGGGGCUAAACCAUGCACCGAAGCUGCGGCAGCGACGCUUAUGCGUUGUUGGGUAGGGGAGCGUUCUGUAAGCCUGUGAAGGUGUGCUGUGAGGCAUGCUGGAGGUAUCAGAAGUGCGAAUGCUGACAUAAGUAACGAUAAAGCGGGUGAAAAGCCCGCUCGCCGGAAGACCAAGGGUUCCUGUCCAACGUUAAUCGGGGCAGGGUGAGUCGACCCCUAAGGCGAGGCCGAAAGGCGUAGUCGAUGGGAAACAGGUUAAUAUUCCUGUACUUGGUGUUACUGCGAAGGGGGGACGGAGAAGGCUAUGUUGGCCGGGCGACGGUUGUCCCGGUUUAAGCGUGUAGGCUGGUUUUCCAGGCAAAUCCGGAAAAUCAAGGCUGAGGCGUGAUGACGAGGCACUACGGUGCUGAAGCAACAAAUGCCCUGCUUCCAGGAAAAGCCUCUAAGCAUCAGGUAACAUCAAAUCGUACCCCAAACCGACACAGGUGGUCAGGUAGAGAAUACCAAGGCGCUUGAGAGAACUCGGGUGAAGGAACUAGGCAAAAUGGUGCCGUAACUUCGGGAGAAGGCACGCUGAUAUGUAGGUGAAGUCCCUCGCGGAUGGAGCUGAAAUCAGUCGAAGAUACCAGCUGGCUGCAACUGUUUAUUAAAAACACAGCACUGUGCAAACACGAAAGUGGACGUAUACGGUGUGACGCCUGCCCGGUGCCGGAAGGUUAAUUGAUGGGGUUAGCGCAAGCGAAGCUCUUGAUCGAAGCCCCGGUAAACGGCGGCCGUAACUAUAACGGUCCUAAGGUAGCGAAAUUCCUUGUCGGGUAAGUUCCGACCUGCACGAAUGGCGUAAUGAUGGCCAGGCUGUCUCCACCCGAGACUCAGUGAAAUUGAACUCGCUGUGAAGAUGCAGUGUACCCGCGGCAAGACGGAAAGACCCCGUGAACCUUUACUAUAGCUUGACACUGAACAUUGAGCCUUGAUGUGUAGGAUAGGUGGGAGGCUUUGAAGUGUGGACGCCAGUCUGCAUGGAGCCGUACCUUGAAAUACACCCUUUAAUGUUUGAUGUUCUAACGUGGACCCGUAAUCCGGGUUGCGGACAGUGUCUGGUGGGUAGUUUGACUGGGGCGGUCUCCUCCUAAAGAGUAACGGAGGAGCACGAAGGUUGGCUAAUCCUGGUCGGACAUCAGGAGGUUAGCGCAAUGGCAUAAGCCAGCUUGACUGCGAGCGUGACGGCGCGAGCAGGUGCGAAAGCAGGUCAUAGUGAUCCGGUGGUUCUGAAUGGAAGGGCCAUCGCUCAACGGAUAAAAGGUACUCCGGGGAUAACAGGCUGAUACCGCCCAAGAGUUCAUAUCGACGGCGGUGUUUGGCACCUCGAUGUCGGCUCAUCACAUCCUGGGGCUGAAGUAGGUCCCAAGGGUAUGGCUGUUCGCCAUUUAAAGUGGUACGCGAGCUGGGUUUAGAACGUCGUGAGACAGUUCGGUCCCUAUCUGCCGUGGGCGCUGGAGAAUUGAGGGGGGCUGCUCCUAGUACGAGAGGACCGGAGUGGACGCAUCACUGGUGUUCGGGUUGUCAUGCCAAUGGCACUGCCCGGUAGCUAAAUGCGGAAGAGAUAAGUGCUGAAGGCAUCUAAGCACGAAACUUGCCCCGAGAUGAGUUCUCCCUGACUCCUUGAGAGUCCUGAAGGAACGUUGAAGACGACGACGUUGAUAGGCCGGGUGUGUAAGCGCAGCGAUGCGUUGAGCUAACCGGUACUAAUGAACCGUGAGGCUUAACCUU
rnacentral:rRNA from 1 species